UACCUUUGUUCAGUACAUGGGGAGAAACAAAUGUUAACAAGUGACUCAGACAGAGACUUCAGUACAUUGGGAGAAACGUAACAGAUGACACAGGGCAGCAGAAAUCCUAAAACAAUGAGGAACUAUGCAGAUGAAGAUUUUGUUCCUCCCAGGAUGUCUCCAGCUGGUGUAAUCCUGCCCUGGAGCAUCACAGCAUCAUGGGACCAUUGAGGUCUUAGCUGUGAUCAGGGGCCAAAAUGGAGUUAUGUCCCGACAUGCCAUAGCUGGCCUAAUCAAAUGAUUUUUCCCCAAAAUUAUGUAGAAUUGCUCCCAACACUGUUGCUUUCUCCUUGAGAGCAUGGUUCAGUGGGUGGGAACUGAGAAGUUAUUUGAAGAGUAGGAUAGGUAAACCUGAGUGUACCUCAUAAAGUACACUCAGUUCAACUCCUGUGUUUACACAUUGAAAAAACCCUAACAAUGCUAAAGUAAAAUUACAUCUUCUGGGUUAUAAACAUGUGGUAGUUCCAGAGUGUUGUAUAGUCAAAGUAAAAUAAAAAUGAAAACUGGAAUGUUCAGAAAAUAGGAUUUUGUUUGUGAACUCACCUUUACUUUUGUCUUUGUUUAACUUAAAAAAAAAAUAAGAUUCCUGGAAAAGAUUGUUAUAUUCUGUAAAGACUUACAUUGAUCCACUUAGCUUAUACUGUUGCAUCAGUAAGGCUUUGCCCAAAUAUGUGUAUAUAGUUACAAAGCAAAACAAAAACACCACCUGUUGGGAUAUAAGGUAGCAAUCACAAACUGAAGACUUUGUCUUAUUUAGGUGCAAUACCCUGGUUCCCAAAGUUAGUUACACUGGGUCUUACUGUUUUCAUUACAGAAGGAUUACUCAGACUGGAUUGAAUGGAACAAAAUGCUAUUAAUCUAAGUAUUUAUAAAUAAAGAACAUAUAUCUAGAUUUUUUAAAAAGAUCUUCACAAGAGCCAAGGAAACCAGCAGAGUAUGGAAAGGUGAUCAAAUGCCAUCCACUUGGAAGAAAGAGGAAAAGAAGCGGAUUUUCCUUGGACUCCAGCAUUGAUCCCAUGAAGGAAAAUCAGCACCAGCAUUAUUCACAGUACCCAAAAUAUGGAAUUCACCCAGAUGUCUGUCAAUGGAUGACUGGAUACUAAUGAUUAUAUAAUCAUGUAAGUAGUGAAUUAUAUAAAGCAAUUCUGAAGGAAUAAACUAAACAUAGGCUAUUACUAUUAAAACACAAAACUUUCACCCAAGUGUAAUAAAAAGCUAAGCCAUAUCAGUGGAUGUGGGAGACUACCCUGUUUAUUAUGCCCAAA